rnacentral:rRNA from 1 species
AUCUAAGCGGGAAGCCCACCUCGAGAUAAGAUAUCCCUCCUGAUGGAGACAUCAGGACUGAAGACCCCUCGUAGACCACGAGGUUGAUAGGUCAGGUGUGCAAGCACAGUAAUGUGUUGAGCUUACUGAUACUAAUCGGUCGUGAGGCUUGACCAUA